UGGGGAAUAUUGCACAAUGGGCGGAAGCCUGAUGCAGCGACGCCGCGCGGGGGAUGACGGCCUUCGGGUUGUAAACCUCUUUCAGUGCAGAACAAGGCCCUUUGUUGGUUGAGGGUAUGCGCAGAAGAAGCGCCGGCUAACUACGUGCCAGCAGCCGCCGUUAUACGUAGGGCGCGAGCGUUGUCCGGAUUUAUUGGGCGUAAAGAGCUCGUAGGCGGUUUGUCGCGUCUGCUGUGAAAUCCUCUGGCUUAACUGGGGGCGUGCAGUGGGUACGGGCAGGAUGGAAUGCGGGAGGAGGGACGGGGAUUCCUGGGGGAGCGGUGGAAUGCGCAGAUAUCAGGAAGAACACCGGGGGCAGAGGCGGAUCUCUGGGCCGUUACUGACGCUGAGGAGCGAAAG
rnacentral:rRNA from 1 species